rnacentral:rRNA from 1 species
GAUGAACGCUGGCGGCGUGCCUAAUACAUGCAAGUCGAGCGAACAGACGAGGAGCUUGCUCCUCUGACGUUAGCGGCGGACGGGUGAGUAACACGUGGAUAACCUACCUAUAAGACUGGGAUAACUUCGGGAAACCGGAUCUAAUACCGGAUAAUAUAUUGAACCGCAGGGUUCAAUAGUGAAAGACGGUUUUGCUGUCACUUAUAGAUGGAUCCGCGCCGCAUUAGCUAGUUGGUAAGGUAACGGCUUACCAAGGCGACGAUGCGUAGCCGACCUGAGAGGGUGAUCAGCCACACUGGAACUGAGACACGGUCCAGACUCCUACGGGAGGCAGCAGUAGGGAAUCUUCCGCAAUGGGCGAAAGCCUGACGGAGCAACGCCGCGUGAGUGAUGAAGGUCUUCGGAUCGUAAAACUCUGUUAUUAGGGAAGAACAAAUGUGUAAGUAACUAUGCACGUCUUGACGGUACCUAAUCAGAAAGCCACGGCUAACUACGUG